rnacentral:ncRNA from 18 species
UUCUUAUCCAGAGCGGCGGAGGGACUGGCCCUAUGAAGCCCGGCAACCAUCACGAAAGUGGAAGGUGCCAAUUCCAACAGAGCGUAUUCGUACGCUUUGACAGAUAAGAG